UUAGUAACCAAUAGUGACAGAAAGUAAAUCAUAUAUAAAGAAACAGAGAAGUAGAUGCACUAUCAUAAAAAGAAAAAAUAAAUUCACAAAACCUAUAGACAAACUUGUGAAAUAGUAACUUGUCAAUUGAUCAGAAUCAAAACACAAUAGUCUCUUUGCUUCCAUUAAAUGUUGAAAAAAGAAAAAAAAAUCUUAAACACUUUGAGUUCUGUAAUAAAUUCUAAUUCAAACUCCAAAGCAGAAUGAAGCAUAAAUCUAUAUUUGCUUUAUUAAAUAUAUAACACGAGAGGUGCUAUAUAUAUAGAAUAAGAGUGAAUUGUAAUCAGAACUACACCUUUCUCUGUUGUAAUAUAGAACCAGCUGGCGACACGUGAACCAGACCAACAAUAGAAUGAAGACCACAAUUCCAGCUUCAGAUGCUUUCAAGGAGAGGAGCGAGUUGAUGUUUAUUCCGACAUUGUUUAUCUACAACAAGAAAAUAUGGAAAUAAUAUGGUUGCAGAGUUAAUCUAUGUGUAUGAGCAUUAAUAAAACAAAGAAAGCAAUUAGAAACUUUACAAUCACUUUAGGAUGUAAUCAAAUUUUAUCUUAACUUUUUUAUUUACGCAACUAAUUGCAAGUAGUAGUUGAAAUAACUAACCAUUAUAAUUUUCUUACUGCAAAGAAAAAUAUUUACAACAUAUAAAUGAGCUCAAAGAGUUUGAGUUAGCUUUCAAUGGACCACCUAGAGUUAGAAGAAGAAAAGGAUCCUUCGACGCAUUCGAUUCUGAUAGUUUAAUCACAACCUCUAUCGAGAGGGCAAAUUGUCAUAGACUUAAGGCAUGGAACAAAGGUGCGCGAAUAAUUACAAAUUGAAAUAACACAGUUGAAGUGCAAAUUAUUAAAUAUAAAGGUAGAAACUUGGAAUUUGUCUAUCAAUUUCAAGAACAAAAUACAAAGUAACUGAACAUAGACUAUAACUAAUUAGUUAAUUACUCAGUAACCUUCAGCAAUUGGCGAUGAGCAUACCAAUUAAAAGCAAACCGUUCAGUUCCAAAAAAGUGAAACCUUGAUUGCACCAGUCAGUGAACCUCAAGCUUUUUAAAAUUCACCACUUUAAAGAGGAAAUCCAUCCAUGCAAGAGCAAGAACUUUUUAAGGACGAAAUCGUUAUGUCAUAAACUGCAACUUUCGUGAACAGCUUAUGUCAAAAUUUGCAUUACGGAGUUUAUCCAAACUCGCUGACCAUGAAGAUCUUCCACUGGGGAAUUUCGUCAAAUACAUAGGUGGCAUCGAAGUUCUUCCCUCCUUAUCACUAUUUUCGUCCUAGAUGGAAAUUUUCACAGAGCAGAGAAGUACUACACAAAACUUAAAAUCCACAUACAGAUGGAAAAUUGGAGACAUCCGAUGAGUGAAGAUUUCUGAUAAGUUCCACUUAGUGUUCUAUCUCUUUGAAGCCCUUGAAGAACAGUGGAAGAAUGUGUUUAUUCGCUGGGGUCGGAGGGACCCGUGUCUCUGUAGAAAAUCCAUUCAAUUGUCAAUAAAAUGAACCAGAUAGUAAAGUACAUUGUACAGUGCUCUUUGUACAACCCAGUGGUCUUGUAUGGAUCAAUGUGGAAUAAAGUAAAAUUUUAUGAUUUGUUUUGUAAUUUCACUUGAACCGGAAG
rnacentral:lncRNA from 1 species